rnacentral:lncRNA from 1 species
AAAGGAAGAUGAUGGCUUAGCUGGAAGAGGAGGUCAACAAAGAUGAAAGUUUGCUUCAACAAACACCGUUUGAUGAAGCAAUUCAUGAUAGGUUAGAAGCCACAAAUAGGAAGAUAGAUGCCCUAACUAAAACGCAAUAGGAAAAUGCUAGACAAAGGAGUAGAGCCUACUAGUUGCACCUAGGGGAUAAGAAUACUAAGUUCUUUGCAGCCAUGACCAAACAGAGAAAAGCAUUAAAUUCUCUAUACAGGAUGCUAGGGCCAAAUGGGAGGGUAAUGGUGUCUAGGAGUGAGAUGGAGGAGAAGACCCUAGCACAUUUUAAGAACCUGUUUGCUGAAGGGGAGGAGAGCAUCUCUAGGGAAACUAGGAAUUUUACAAAGAGAGUAACACCACAACAGAACCUAGACCUAGAGCAAAUCCCUACCUAUGAAGAGGUAAAAAAGGUUGUAAUGAGCCUAAAUCCAGAUAAGAGCCCUGGUCCAGAUGGGUUUAAUGGAGCCUUCUUUAGGGCUUUUUGGACCAUAAUGGACAAGGAUCUAGUAAAAGCAAUACAAUCAAUUUUCGUAGGGGACCCACUCCUAAGGCAAGUGAACUCCACCUUUGUGACCUUAAUACCAAAAAUCAAAAAUCCUACUAGAUUGGAUCAAUUCAGACCAAUAUCAUGUAUUAAUACAACAUAUAAGAUCCUAUCUAAGGUCAUCACAAAUAGGGUGGUUCCAGUAGUAGACACCAUAAUAGACAACAACCAAACAGCCUUCCUCCCAGGAAGGCUAAUUGGGGACAAUUACCUACUAGCAACAGAGAUGGUGACAGGUUUUGGGAGGGGAAAUGGAGGGGCCAAUGCCGCUAUAAAGGUUGACCUAGCAAAGGCCUUUGACACAGUGAGCUGGGAGGCGAUAGAGGGUACAAUGGUAGACCUAGGAUUCAGCCAGAAGAUUGUGAGGAUAAUAAUGAUGUGCAUCACCACAUCAUCUCUGUCCUUCCUUGUAAAUGGCUCACCCACACCACAAAUCCAACCCAGGAGGGGAAUCAGACAAGGUGACCCCUUAUCACCCUACAUAUUUGCUCUAAUAAUGCAGAAUCUAACCAUUCUAAUCAAUGAGCGGGUAGCUAAGAAACAGAUUAGUACCUUUAAGAAACACAAUGUGAUGGGUAUAUCACACCUCAUCUAUGCAGACGACCUCCUUAUCUUUUGCAAAGCUAGGGAGGAGUCGUUCAAGUCGGUAAACGAGGUAUUCAGACUGUUUGAGGAAAGAACAGGGCUGAAGGUGAGUGAGCCAAAAAGUGAAGUCUUCUUCUCGAACUCCACCAAAGAGAAGGAAACCUUGCUAACCCAUCUAAAAUUCAAGGAGGGAGAGUUCCCCACAACCUACUUAGGUUUACCUUUGUCUCCUAGAAUACUAUACCAAAAGGACUGUGCACCUCUGAUAGAUAGGGUGAAUGGGAUGGUAGAGGGAUGGAAAACAAGACUACUAUCCCAUGCGGGCAGAGUUCAAUUAUACCAUUGGGGGAUAAUGGGAAUUUUUAAUUUUUGGAACAUGUCUAGCAGGCUCCCGGUGGAAACACUAAAGAAGCUACAAUCCAUUAUAUAUAGGUACAUAUGGAAUGGGAAACAGGAUAUGUCUUGGGCACAAAUGGUGCUACCCAAGAACGAGGGUGGGCUAGGACUAAGGAGCUAUCAUGAGUCGGCUGAGGCAGCCAGACUAACAAGAUUAGGAAGGAUAUGGUCAUCCCAAGACUCCAUAUGGGCCUCAUGGAUGAGGGGUAGAUACGUAGGUGGGAGGGGACUACUGAGCAUUAGUAAGCACCCAAGUUUAGACUCAGCUUUAUGGGCUGAAAUAAUUGACUAUAAAAAUGAAAUAGUGAAAACCUUAAGAUGUGAUCCCAACUACGAUUGUACUUGGGAGGGCAAAGGGACUUCGCUAACCUAUAAAAAUGCUUGGGACUCCGUGAGGGAAACAGAGGAGGUAGACAAUUACUGGGAGGGAAUUUGGACAACUAGUGUGAGAAAAUUCAGUAUGACACUUUGGAGAGCUAGAUGGUCCAAAAUCUCUAUGAGGGCAGAUUGGGCGGGUAGAAUGGGGGGAGAUGCCACGGAUUGCAUUUUAUGUGGGGGACCAUGGGAGUCACAAGACCAUGUGUUCUUUAAAUGCAAAUUCUCUAAGGACUUGUGGAAUUAUAUAUUAUCUGCGAAACCCCGUUUGAUUACAUGUGCAGGUCUAUCUUUAAAACAGGUUAUGGAUGAAGCACAAGCAAGAACAAAAAACUCAAUAUGCUGGGGAAUGACUUGGGCUUACAUUGCUGCAGUGGUGUGGGGGAUAUGGACAGAAAGGAACAGGAGGGUUCAUGAGGAUAGACGGACCAGGCCACAAGAGAUUGGGAGAAGACUAGUGGAAGAUAUCACCUCAACAUUCAUGCCGAGCAGGUACAAGGCAAUAGGGACAACUCAGGAACAAAGGAUGGCACAAGGCUGGAAUUGCGGGGGGGGAAAUGCCCCAAGUUAAUUGCUGUUUUAUUUUUGGUGUAUUUAAUUAAACUGCUUGUUGCAACUUAAAUUUGGUAGGAACAAAUAACAUGUAAUUGGUAGGCUAGCGAUAGGGGAGGGUUCAAUUAAAAAUAGAACCCAAACCUAUCAAUGGCAAAGGUCUAGCAUGUAUGGUACAUGGACUGAUCUAAAAAUCAUGUCCAUUAGGAACCCCUGGCCCAAUAGGGACAAGGAUCUUCCUAAGUCAUAGUAGAAACGAUAUGUGGAAUCACUUACAAAUUAGUGGACCGAAAGGUGAUGGCAGAGUUUUCCCUUGGAAAAGGAAAAGAGGCCAUGGGCACACCAGGGUUUUUACACUCCCCAUUGUCCAAGGCCCACUAUGUGAGAACGAUGAGGCAUAGAUCGUUAUAGGAACCAUUGAGUCAGUCCCCAAAGGCUUGGAAGAUUAGGCGAUCGUAAGAUCAAAUAAUUGGAUAAGCGCGGAGGGCGUGAGGUGGACCGUCUGUGGUCGCACUUCUUUUUUGUUAAGAUCUUUUAUAUUAUCAGUGAUUUUAACUCAAAAAAAAUUGGCUGCCACAAUUCGCCACAAGCCCAUGAACGCUUGGCUGCCACAAGCCCAUGUGAGAGUGAGAUAGAGGCGAUUGGGAGGGCGAUUAAAGGGCGAUCGUGUGUUCUUGGUUUCUUGCAGGUCUAGGAGUACGGCAGCACGGAGGGAGAGAGAAGAUUCCAGAGAAAUUUCAAAAUCAGGAUAUUUUACUAUUAAAUAUAUACUAUUUUCUAUUGUUUUUUAAAUUUUUAGGAUUAAACAUCACUGUUCAUUGUCCUCUUUCGCUGCAGGACACUCGUACUUCUUCUCCAUGGAGAACAUCUCCAUGGAGGUCGAUAAAGGCGGAGUUUGGACGGAGGUUAAUAGAAGGAACAAGGGAAGGUCUGGAGGGGAUUUUAAUCCGGUAGUUGGGACGCCGGCCAGAGGAGGAAGAGGUGGUCGCAGUCGCAGGGGCGGGAGGAGCUCUGUGCUGAAAACGCGAGGACGACGACAAGUUACGAACCCAUUCGAGGCUCUGACGCCGGAGGAGAAGGAGCGGGAAAUCAAUAGGCACAAGUGGGCGAGGCUCGCGGGGGACGGCUUCCUGCCGAAGGCUACGACGGAGGACGACGCUUGCAGGAGGGAACGGAUUCGGACAGGGAUGGGUUCACCGGAAGACGUAACUCUGCUGGAACUACAGCGCCGUGUACAUGCGGAGGUAAGACGCAACUCAAUGCUUGCAGGCGAUGGAACACUGUCGGGAACGAAAGACCAGUCGGAGAUUGAGAGAAGAGCAAGGGCGAGAGCCGGGAAAGCCACUGCCGAAGACAUCGCGGAGUUGGAAAAACAGAGGAUCGCAAGACGACAAUACGUGCAGAGGGCAAGGCUGGUUGACGAUGGAUGCCUUGGCCCUACUGGAGACAAUAUCGAAUUGCGGAGGCGAGCCAGAGUCAGGGAAGGCACCGCGAUACCAGAAGAUAUGACGGCCAUUGAGAACCAGCGUCGGGCAGCGAUGAUACAGAGGAUCGCGAACUUUAAGAACCCAUCGGUGCACAAAUCUUUCGCAUCUGUGUUGAAGCAGGCACCGGUGCUUCCAGAAGGAGUUACAACUGGACUGACCUACACGAAGCCUGCAGAACGAAAUGGGAGGACGGGGGCAUUACUGGGAGGGGAAUUAAUUAAGAAAUUGGAGAAGACGAGGUUCGCCGGAACGCUGCUGGUCCGGCGACUGGUUGACGAGAAGAUAUACCCACGCUUCGCGAGAAAUUUCAUCAAACAGGUAUGGGGAAUUAGUGGGGACCAAUUCGAGGUGCAGGUGAGGCAGUCCGGAGUGCUACUAAUCCAAUUCAGGCGGGGGGGAGACUACACGACAGUGAAGGACGCCGGCGACACUUGGAUGGAUGGGGUGUAUACGAUAGUGAGGAAAUGGACUGAAGGGAAGGCUAUGGAAAACGCGAAGGUCAAAACAUUGCCGAUUUGGGUAGGGUUACCGGAAUUCCCUGCGCAUAUGUGGUGCCAAGAGGUCUUCUCCACAAUCGGAAGUGUGUUGGGUUCGCCGGUAAAAACAGACGCACAUACGGCUAAAGGUUCAAACCCCAAUGGUGCAAAGUUACUGGUAAUUAUGGAGGCAACAGGGAGCUUCCCAACGGAAGUCCCAAUUUACAUUCAAGGGGACGGUGGGGUGGAGUCGGAGGAAACUUGCAGAGUCAACUAUCUGAAAAUGCCGCCGAUCUGCAAAAAGUGCAAUUCCUUCGUCCAUCAGGCGGAGCGUUGCAGAUUCGAGGAAGAGGCACCGGACGAAGUAGUCGGUGACCAGGAAGGGGCAAGGAGCAAAAAUCCGACGAUUGACGGAGAGAACAGCGAGAAAUCGAACGACGCAAACCGCUCUGAAACUCCCGCGAAGAACGACUCGGCUGGAGAAGACAGUCGACGUGGAGACGACGUGGCACAAAAACCCAAUCGGGAGGAGACAACUAAUGCUGAUGUGGCGAUGGGAACAAAUAGAAGAAGGCCAAAUCUUGAUGACGUGGACACAAGGGUCCUCAUAAAGGAGCUACAGAACCGGAUAUUAACAGAGCUGAUCGAAUCCGGGCAGGCGGAUAAGCAAGCGGGCGGGGAAGAUCCAUAUAGCGAGAUUGGGGAAGAAAAUGGAAGUAUAUACCAAUCAAUAUGUGGAAAAGUCAACAUGGGCAUAACCGGACCCGGGUCGGGCGGGCAAAUCGAACUAAAGGAAACCCAAUUAGAGAACGAUGGAGAAGAAACAGAGGAUUUAAGAAACAGGGCACUUCAGAGCAAGAAGGGGAAGGAGGAAGAUGAUGUUCCAGGGGAAGACCGUACAAUGAAUUGCCAGCGGAGGAGGAAGAAAAAGUUUCACGCUAGCAAGGACAAGCUGCAGAGAGAAGAUUCUCCACACUGUACGAUGGUGCAAACGCUAGCGGAAAGGAGGAGCGGGAUAGAAAACCAGGGUGGAACCCAACGUGAAACAGUGCAAGUCACCUCUGGGAAAAAGAGAACACGCGGUACGGAGGAUAUGGGAAGAGAGGACGUCGACGAUAAUGCAGAAUUCGUAGAGAUGGACAGUACAUCGACGGAUUUGAUCGUUAUACCAGUCGACGGUGACCUGGCAAAAUACGGAAGGAAGAAGAACGGUGAGGAAGACGAGUGCAGUGGAGUCAAUUAUUUAUUAAGGGGGGGGGGCUCUUAAAUAAAUUUCACAUGCCAGGCCUGAUCAGUCUGAACCAAUUCGGCAAAUCGAAAAUUCCAGGUCAGGUGCGUCUAAAUAAACACAUUUAUGGUCUGGACCAAUUGAGAUCAAUUAAGCUCUGGGGUGAGAAAAUAAGGUUCAGCCAAGAUCAAGUAACUACUGCAAGUGAAAUGCCAAGACUAACCCCGAGUCAACGAGUGGACCAAGGGGCAGAACAGACAAAAUUAGUUGGAAAGGAGGACCCGAUAACGUUUAAAGCGCAACCCAAAUCCAAAGAGGGGAAACUCAGAAAGGGGGAAGGAUUGAAAUCGAAAAGGGGAAGCGGUAGGAACCCGACCCGACCGGAGACCCGAAUAGCUGAACUUAAAAUUAAAAAGAAAACAGAGAUAUUGCCGGCAAGCGGAGGAAGGUACAGCACAGACUUAAGGAACCAGUCGCCGAUGACCACCAGGGCGGCGGCCAGCAACAAGAAAGUAGUGCAAACCGAGGACGCGUUGUCAAUGAUCCAAGACGCAUUGGAAUUGUCCACGCCGGUAACCAAUUUGGUGAAGAGAAAUAGAUCGCCAAGAAUCCCCAGUGGUGGGUUGCGGAAGAAACACAGGGAGAGCGACGAAACAGAGGAAAUAAUGGCGGAGGAUGAGCACGAGGGAGAACAACACCAGAUUGAGAAGCUCGGGGAAGUGAUCUCGCUACAGCAGAAUGGUGAAUUAACACCCAAUCGGGAAAACAGUCAAUUAAGCAAGGAUACAGAGCAACGGCAGGAUCGAUCUGGGAAAGCUCCAGGAACCCAUACGUCGACUUCGAGAGGUAAAAAAUUAUCUAAAAAUAAAUCCAAACAGAAAGCAAGGAGAGAAGUGGAGCUAGAAGCUGGGGCAUCUGCGGAGAAGGAGAUAUCGAUGAAGACCAGAGAAGACUAUCUGCUCAAUCCUGAACGACUCACGAACUGCAUAUCGGACAGACUGUCGGGAGCUCUAGAUUUUGCGGAGGAAGUCGGGAAUGAUGACGUCUCUGAUGGGGAAUAUGAGAUAGGCAGAAUUGUAUGGGACAAGCUGCCGGGAGAUGCGAUUACGAGAGAGGAGCAAAUUCAGGGUGAUAGUGGCCAGCUGGAGGAGUUCCGGCGAGAUCCAACCACCGUCUAAAAGCUCUGUUCCGACUUAACCACCAGGGGUGGGGUGAGUGGGGGAGGUGAGAUAAAUUAAAUAAAUUUAAUUAAGCUGAAAUUAGGAGAGAGUGAUUAGUCAAAUUAAAGUUAAUUAAUAAUCUGCUGAUUAGGUAAGCAAAUAGAGGUUAGUAAAAAUAAUUUAACCAAUGACUUACGAAAUGGGGGGAAAAUAUGGGAAAAUUGCAUGCUAUGAUUGGGGGGGGUAUGAGAGAGAUGCUUGUGGAUAAGAAUGAUAAAAUAAAAACAAAAAUAAAAAGGCUAAAUACAAUUAAAAAAGUCUGCACAUGGGCCAAAAUGAGGGGGGAGAAAAGGUAUGCACGUGGGCAAAAACCAAUUGGGUAAAAAAACAAUAAUAAGAAUAAAAACUGCAAUUAAAAAUCCUUGCACGUGGGUUUUAGUAAUGGUAUACAAGCACGUGGGUAGGGAGGGGCAACCAAAGAAAAAUGCUAGAAACUGGCCCAAUUGCACCAAAUGGGCAAUGGUCCACAAAAUUAAAAAUUCACUAUACAUGAACGUGGGGGUGGAAACCAUAAACGAAGAAUUGAAUAAAAAACAUUUGAUAUUCCUAGAUAAGCAAGUGGGGUGCAUAGAGAAAUCCAUUAUAGUGUGAAUGGGUCUAACCAACUCUUCAGAGUUGGGCAAGACCAAACCCCACACAAAAAUGGAGAUGGGCCUAAUCCAAGGGGGGAUGGAAAUGCAAGGGGGCAAAGGCAAAAACUUAGGAGACCUAACCAAAUUAGCAGAACUCAGAAUUUGGCCAAAAGUCAAAAUUGGCCGAAUUUGACUAGAAGUCAAACGAAUUUGACCAAUAAUCAAACAACAAUUUUGCCUAAGAGUCAGCGAUAUUGGAGAUGGGGUUUGUGCACUAUGGCUCCCGACAGUCAAAAUGGACAAUCCCUUACCACCCAAAUUCCCCAGAGUUUGAUCAAAAGUCAAAAUCAACCAAUUUUGGCCAAUAGUCAAAAUCAACUGAUUUUGACCAAUAGUCAAAAUUGGAGCUUGGGCAAGAGGCAAACCCGGGAUGAUACUACCCACCCGGUAGUGACCCGACAACGACCCAAUAGUGACCCGACUGGGACCCGUUAGCCAACCAGAACAAAAAAAAUGGUCAUCGAUACCACACCAAACCCUAGGCACACUAACAGACCCGACACAGACCCGAUAAACAAAAAGGCACCAAAAAUAAAAUAAAUAAAAUAAAAUAAAAACAAUAAAUGUCGUUUGGGAGCUGGAAUGUGUAUGGGCUGAAUAGUGACCUAAGGAAGAAUGCGGUAAAGAAGUUUGUGAAAAAACACAAGUUGGACCUCUUUGGACUUUAUGAAACUAAAAUCAUGAAGAAGAACUUCCAACAUAUCAGUAAGAUAUUUGGACAGAAAUUUUCGGUAAUAUCAAACAGAGAACAAUCUGACCCUAGGGCAGACUCUAUCUGGAUGGUAUGGGACACUGGUCUUUGGGACAUAGAAGAUCCAAUUCUACACGACCACUACAUACAUUGUUUUGCAAAAAACAAAGGGGGGUUCAAUAUAAACAUAACCAUGGUGUAUGCAUCGUCAGAUUACCAGGUGAGGGAGGAAACAUGGAGGGACCUAAAAACACUAAGUAGAGCCAUUAGGGGCCCAUGGAUUGUCCUUGGCGAUUUUAAUGAGGUUAGGAAUAGGGAAGAUAGGAUUGGAAAGCAUGCGGUUGUAAAAAUGCCCCACAUAAGACAAUUUAAUAAAGACCUAAAUGAAGCAUGCUUAAAAGAAAUUAUUAUAAAUGGCAACCCAACAACCUGGCAUAAUAAAAGACAUGGAGAACAUAGGGUCUGCAGUAGAAUAGACAAGGGCUUUGGAAAUACUGAACUGUUUGAUCUAUGGCCGGACAUCAGACUGGAUAGCCACUCAGGUGGAUCAUCCGAUCACCGUAGUCUAACCAUGGACCUUAGGACGGUGCAGGAGAAGAAGAAGCCCUUUAGAUUCACCAACUUAUGGUUAAGGAAGGAAGAACUGAAGGGGAUAGUACAAGAGGCAUGGCAGAUAGAUGUCUGGGGCACGCCGAUGUACAUUUUCACAAAGAAACUCAACAACGUCAAGAGGGUCCUGAAGAAAUGGAAGACAUCAGAGGACCAACAAAGGAAGAUGAUGGCUCAACUAGAGGAGGAGGUCAACAAGGAUGAAAGCUUGCUUCAACAAACACCGUUUGAUGAAGCAAUCCAUGAUAGGGUAGAAGCCACCAAUAGGAAGAUAGACGCCCUAACUAAAACACAAGAGGAAAACGCUAGACAAAGGAGUAGAGCCUACUGGUUGCAUCUAGGGGAUAAGAAUACUAAGUUCUUUGCAGCCAUGACCAAACAGAGAAAAGUACUAAACUCUCUAUAUAGGAUGUUAGGGCCAAAUGGGAGGGUAAUGGUGUCUAGGAGUGAAAUGGAGGAGAAGACCCUAGCACACUUUAAGAACCUGUUUGCUGAAGGGGAGGAGAGCAUCUCUAGGGAAACUAGGAACUUUACUAAAAGAGUAACACCACAACAGAACCUAGACCUAGAGCAAACCCCUACCUAUGAAGAGGUAAAAAAGGUUGUAAUGAGCUUAAAUCCAGACAAGAGCCCUGGCCCAGAUGGGUUUAAUGGAGCCUUCUUUAGGGCCUUUUGGACCAUAAUGGACAAGGAUCUUGUCAAAGCAAUACAAUCAAUUUUCGUAGGGGACCCACUCCUAAGGCAAGUCAACUCUACCUUUGUGACCUUAAUACCAAAAAUUAAAAACCCGACUAGAUUGGAUCAAUUCAUACCAAUAUCAUGUAUCAAUACAACAUAUAAGAUCCUAUCUAAGGUCAUCACAAAUAGGGUGGUUCCAGUGGUAGACACCAUAAUAGACAACAACCAAACAGCCUUCCUCCCAGGAAGGCUGAUUGGGGACAACUACCUACUAGCAACAGAGAUGGUGGCAGGUUUUGGGAGGGGAAAUGGAGGGGCCAAUGCUGCUAUAAAGGUUGACCUAGCAAAGGCCUUUUACACAGUGAGUUGGGAGGCAAUAGAGGGUACAAUGGUAGAUCUAGGAUUCAGCCAGAAGAUUGUGAGGAUAAUAAUUGAUGAAGCACGGAAUCUGCUACCAGUAGGCUCGCGGGGUUGCGAGGAGGGCCGGAGGCUUUGGAGUCCACGACGCGCGCUCUACGUCAAUGUACCUGCAGAAGAGGAGGGGAAUCGGCGACUCACGUGGGAGUAGGCGAUUCGGGCUCCUUAGUUUGCUCUGGUUGGAGUGUGUGUUGUCAAGAUGAGUUGAGGGUAGAGGUCCACCAAGGACCCCUUUUAUAGGGUCCUGGGGGACGUUUUCCCCAUUCAUUAGCGUGGGGCCCACCCCAUUAAGGUAUCCUAUUAAGGAAUGCCUUAAUGGCGAGGGUCCGCUCAAGUAACGGCUGGGAGUCGGCGAUUCAGGUGUGGGAAUCGCCGAUCCAGAGGUUCAAUCGCCGACUCCCCAUGAGCCUAGUGGCAGCCUACCAGAACUGUCCACAAGGCCUAGAGUUAGCGAUUCACCCCUGGAGUCGGCGACUUGGUAGUCCCAAUCGGCGACUCCCAAGUGUUAACUUGGGCUCUUGACGUAGACACGUGCUCCGCACCGUGGAAGCCUUUCCGGGGGUCCGGCAUAUAGCGACGGAACCCUAUUCCUUGUUUGAAGGGCGUUGCUGGGAGUGACUGACGUAAUCAGGCAUGUCUCACCAAUAAUGAUGUGCAUCACCACAUCAUCUCUGUCCUUCCUUGUAAAUGGCUCACCCACACCACAAAUCCAACCCAAGAGGGGAAUCAGACAAGGUGAUCCCCUCUCACCUUACAUAUUUGCUCUAAUAAUGCAGAAUCUAACCAUCCUAAUCAAUGAGCGGGUAGCUAAGAAGCAAAUUAGUACCUUUAAGAAACAUAAUGUGAUGGGUAUAUCACACCUCAUAUAUGCAGACGACCUCCUAAUCUUUUGCAAAGCUAGGGAGGAGUCAUUCAAGUCGGUGAAUGAAGUAUUCAGAGUGUUUGAGGAAAGAACAGGGCUGAAGGUGAGUGAGCCAAAGAGUGAAGUCUUCUUCUCGAACUCCACCAGAGAAAGGAAACUCUACUAACUCACCUAAAAUUCAAGGAGGGAGAGUUCCCCACAACCUACCUAGGGUUACCUCUGUCUCCUAGAAUACUUUACCAGAAAGAUUGUGCACCGCUGAUAGAAAGGGUGAAUGGGAUGGUAGAGGGAUGGAAAACAAGACUACUAUCCCAUGCGGGCAGAGUUCAAUUAUACCAUUGGGGGAUAAUGAGAAUUUUUAAUUUUUGGAACAUGUCUAGCAGGCUCCCGGUGGAAACACUAAAGGAGCUACAAUCCAUAACAUAUAGAUACAUAUGGAAUGGAAAACAGAAUAUGUCUUGGGCACAAAUGGUGCUACCCAAGAAGGAGGGUGGGCUAGGACUAAGGAGCUACCAUGAGUCGGCUGAGGCAGCCAGACUAACAAGAUUAGGAAGGAUAUGGUCAUCCCAAGACUCCAUAUGGGCAUCAUGGAUGAGGGGUAGAUAUGUAGGUGGGAGGGGACUACUGAGCAUUGGUAAGCACCCUAGUUUAGAUUCAGCCUUAUGGGCUGAGAUAAUGGACUAUAAAAACGAAAUAGUGAAAACCCUAAAAUGUGAUCCCAACUACGAGUGUACUUGGGAGGGCAAAGGGACUUCGCUAACCUAUAAAAAUGCUUGGGACUCCGUAAGGGAAACAGAGGAGGUAGACAAUUAUUGGGAGGGAAUUUGGACAACUAGUGUGAGAAAAUUCAGUAUGACACUUUGGAGAGCUAGAUGGUCCAAAAUAUCUAUGAGGGCAGAUUGGGCGGGUAGAAUGGGAGGAGAUGCCACGGAUUGCAUUUUAUGUGGGGGACCAUGGGAGUCACAAGACCAUGUGUUCUUUAAAUGCAGAUUCUCUAAGAACUUGUGGAAUUAUAUAUCUGCAAAACCCCGUUUGAUUACAUGUGCAGGUCUAUUUUUAAAACAGGUCAUGGAUGAAGCACAAGCAAGAACAAAGAACUCAAUAUGUUGGGGAAUGACUUGGGCUUACAUUGCUGCAGUGGUGUGUGGAAUAUGGACAGAAAGGAACAGGAGGGUUCAUGAGGAUAGACGGACCAGGCCACAAGAGAUUGGGAGAAGACUAGUGGAAGAUAUCACCUCAACAUUCAUGCCGAGCAGGUACAAGGCAAUAGGGACACCUCAGGAACAAAGGAUGGCACAAGGCUGGAAUGGCGGGGGGGGAAAUGCCCCAAGUUAAUUGCUAUUUUACUUCUGUUGUAUUUAAUUAAACUGCUUGUUGCAACUUAAAUUUGGUAGGAACAAUAAUAACAUGUAAUUGGUAGGCUAGCGAUAGGGGGGGUUCAAUUAAAAAUAGAACCCAAACCUAUCAACGGCAAAGGUCUAGCAUGUAUGGUAAAUGGACUGAUCUAAAAUCAUGUCCAAUAGGAACCCCUGCCCCAAUAGGGACAAGGACCUUCCUAAGUCUUAGUAGAAGCGAUAUGUGGAAUCACUUACAAAUUAGUGGACCGAAAGGUGAUGGCAGAGUUUUCCCUUGGAAAAGGAAAAGAGGCCAUGGGCACACCAGGGUUUUUACACUCCCCAUUGUCCAAGGCCCACUAUGUGAGAACGAGGAGGCAUAGAUCGUUCUAGGAAUCAUUGAGUCAGUCCCCAAAGGCUUGGAAGAUUAGGCGAUCGUAAGAUCAAAUAAUUGGAUAAGCGCGGAGGGCGUGAGGUGGACCGCUUGUGGUCGCACCUCUUUUUGUUAAGAUCUUUUAUAUUAUCAGUG